AAAGUUCAGGGGGAUAUACCAUGAUCACGAAGGUGAUUUUCCCAGGGCUAGACUUAUCCAUUGCACUCCGGAUGUGCUGACCCCUGAGAUUUCCCCAAAUGCAGGAAACUCAACUGCAUAAUUUGUGGUAGUGGGGGAAUGUGUUCACACACUCCCCUG